UUUCCAGACUCCUACGGGAGGCAGCAGUGAGGAAUAUUGGUCAAUGGCCGAGAGGCUGAACCAGCCAAGUCGCGUGAGGGAAGACGGCCCUACGGGUUGUAAACCUCUUUUGUCGGGGAGCAAAGCGAACCACGUGUGGUUCAUUGAGAGUACCCGAAGAAAAAGCAUCGGCUAACUCCGUGCCAGCAGCCGCGGUAAUACGGAGGAUGCGAGCGUUAUCCGGAUUUAUUGGGUUUAAAGGGUGCGUAGGCGGGACGGUAAGUCAGCGGUAAAAAUGCGGUGCUCAACGCCGUCGAGCCGUUGAAACUGGCGUUCUUGAGUGGGCGAGAAGUAUGCGGAAUGCGUGGUGUAGCGGUGAAAUGCAUAGAUAUCACGCAGAACUCCGAUUGCGAAGGCAGCAUACCGGCGCCCUACUGACGCUGAGGCACGAAAGCGUGGGUAUCGAACAGGAUUAGAUACCCCAGUA
rnacentral:rRNA from 1 species